UCCUUGGUGGUCCAAUGGUUAAGGCUCUGCACUUCCACUGCAGAGGGCUCAGGUUCGACUCCUGGUCAGGAAA